GUGCUCACUUCAGCAACACAUAUACUAAAAUUAGAACGAUAUAGAGAUUAGCCUGUCCCUUGCACAAGGAUGACAUGCAAAUUCAUGAAGCAUUCCAUAUUUUU
ensembl:snRNA U6 U6 spliceosomal RNA